CACGUAGGGGGCGAGCGUUGUCCGGAUUUAUUGGGCGUAAAGAGCUCGUAGGCGGCUCGGUAAGUCGGGUGUGAAAUUUCGAGGCUUAACCUCGAAACGCCACCCGAUACUGCUGUGGCUAGAGUCCGGUAGGGGAGCGUGGAAUUCCUGGUGUAGCGGUGAAAUGCGCAGAUAUCAGGAGGAACACCAGCGGCGAAGGCGGCGCUCUGGGCCGGAACUGACGCUGAGGAGCGAAAGCGUGGGUAGCAAACAGG
rnacentral:rRNA from 1 species